rnacentral:rRNA from 1 species
AGUGAACGCUGGCGGUAGGCCUAACACAUGCAAGUCGAACGGCAGCACAGUAAGAGCUUGCUCUUACGGGUGGCGAGUGGCGGACGGGUGAGGAAUACAUCGGAAUCUACUUUUUCGUGGGGGAUAACGUAGGGAAACUUACGCUAAUACCGCAUACGACCUACGGGUGAAAGCAGGGGAUCUUCGGACCUUGCGCGAUUGAAUGAGCCGAUGUCGGAUUAGCUAGUUGGCGGGGUAAAGGCCCACCAAGGCGACGAUCCGUAGCUGGUCUGAGAGGAUGAUCAGCCACACUGGAACUGAGACACGGUCCAGACUCCUACGGGAGGCGGCAGUGGGGAAUAUUGGUCAAUGGGCGCAAGCCUGAUCCAGCCAUACCGCGUGGGUGAAGAAGGCCUUCGGGUUGUAAAGCCCUUUUGUUGGGAAAGAAAAGCAGCAGGUUAAUACCCCGCUGUUCUGACGGUACCCAAAGAAUAAGCACCGGCUAACUUCGUG